rnacentral:rRNA from 1 species
UACAGAGGUCUCAAGCGUUGUUCGGAUUCAUUGGGCGUAAAGGGUGCGUAGGCGGCGCGGUAAGUCAGGUGUGAAAUCUCGGAGCUUAACUCCGAAACUGCAUUCGAUACUGCCGUGCUUGAGGACUGGAGAGGAGACUGGAAUUUACGGUGUAGCGGUGAAAUGCGUAGAUAUCGUAAGGAAGACCAGUGGCGAAGGCGGGUUGCUGGGCUGACACUGACGCUGAUGCGCGAAAGCUAGGGGAGCGAACGGG